CCUACGGGAGACUGCAGUGAGGAAUAUUGGUCAAUGGACGCAAGUCUGAACCAGCCAUGCCGCGUGCAGGAAGACGGCUCUAUGAGUUGUAACCUUCUUUUGUACGAGAGUAAACGCAGAUACGCGUAUCUGUCUGAAAGUAUCGUACGAGUAAGGAUCGGCUAACUCCGUGCCAGCAGCCGCGGUAAUACGGAGGAUUCAAGCGUUAUCCGGAUUUAUUGGGUUUAAAGGGUGCGUAGGCGGUCGGAUAAGUUAGAAGUGAAAUCCCGAGGCUCAACUUCGGAAUUGCCUCUGAUACUGUUCGGCUAGAGAGGAGGUGCGGUAGGCGGAAUGUAUGGUGGAGCGGUGAAAUGCUUAGAGAUCAUACAGAACACCGAUUGCGAAGGCAGCUUACCAAGCUACUUCUGACGUUGAGGCACGAAAGCGUGGGGAGCAAACAGGAUUAGAUACCCCUGUAGUC
rnacentral:rRNA from 1 species